CGUAGCCGAGCUUGAAUUUAAGCGUUUCAUUUACAUUGAUUAGAUCUCUAUAUAGUAGUGUGCCACGA
rnacentral:tRNA from 1 species